CAAAAAAUGAAGUUAAAAUAAAAAAUCAUGCCGUUGUCACCAUUUUGCCUUCUUGUUCUGCAUCGGUAAUUUACUGCUCCUCUGGUAUUGAGAUAAACAGAUGACUAAAAGACCCAAAUGUUCAUUACAUCAUGGUACCAUUGGCGGGUUCAUGUGGCAAACAUGUUUAAUGUUUUAUGUGCAUAACAUCCUUGACCAACAGCCAUUCAUAGCCCCGAAAGCAAUGACAUUGUUUUGGAAAUUUUUUCGUUUAGGUUGGUUUAUGUUUCUAACAUUCUUUGGUACGUUUUCACAUGUAAUUCAUGGUAAAACCUAAUGCUUAGUUGCAAAACCUCAUUAUUUGUGCUAAAUUGUGGUCUGAGGG
rnacentral:lncRNA from 1 species